AUUUACUGACCAAUAAUAUUAAGAAACAAAUCAACCUUUUAAUUCGUAGAAAUGUCUUCGGCCAUUCAUUCUACAUCCAAGUUCCCAAGUUGUAACUUGUAAUAUUAUAUAUAGACUACAUUUUUUUUUUUUUUUGCGUUGGACAUUAUUGGUAAAAGAAAAGCAUCCCAUGCAUUAUAUAUUCUCAUUAAAUUGUUGAAUCGUAAAAAGAGUCUUAUUAUAGUUAUUCAAAAAAGAACAAUUGUAGUAUCAUAUCAUAGACUAUAUAUUUUUU
rnacentral:lncRNA from 1 species